GCAUGGUUCAUUGAUUUAACCCUAGGGCCUCCAGACAUUGAAGCAAUUACAACUCUAGAAAUUCGAAGAAACUAGAAUUUCAAAUAUGCUAGGGUUGGACUGCUGCGAGAGCAAAAAAAAGUGAAAGGAAAAAGAAGGUCAGCUCCUUGAAAUUUCUUGCCCUUAGACUCUUCAGUCUCAGCUGGCUUGUUGUUAGUCUUAACGGGCUUCUCAAUGGGCUUCCGUAAUUCAACGGAUCUGGACUUAUUACCCGCCGGCCCGAGUACUGGUCGGACCUCGGAAUCAGCAUGGUUCAUCAAUUUAACCCUUGGACCUCCGGACAUUGAAGCAAUUACAGCUCUAGAAUUUCGAAGAAAUUAGAAUUUCAAAUAUGCUAGGGUUGGACUGCUGUGAGAGCAAAAAAAGUGAAAGGAAAAAAGAAGGUGCAUUGUAAUUGUUGUGGACCGGAAGGUAGAGAAUAAGAACCCUAGAGAGUUAAAGAGCACAUUAUCGACGAGAAGAAGAAAAUGAAGUAGAUUGG
rnacentral:lncRNA from 1 species